rnacentral:rRNA from 1 species
UACCAGCACCCCGAGUGGUCGGGACGAUUAUUGGGCCUAAAGCAUCCGUAGCCGGUCAUGCAAGUCUUCCGUUAAAUCCAGCCGCUCAACGGUUGGGCUGCAGAGGAUACUACGUGGCUAGGAGGCGGGAGAGGCAAGCGGUACUCAGUGGGUAGGGGUAAAAUCCUUUGAUCCAUUGAAGACCACCAGUGGCGAAGGCGGCUUGCCAGAACGCGCUCGACGGUGGGGGAUGAAAGCUGGGGGAGCAAACCGG